CCUACGGGAGGCAGCAGUGAGGAAUAUUGGUCAAUGGGCGAGAGCCUGAACCAGCCAAGUCGCGUGAAGGAUGACGGCCCUACGGGUUGUAAACUUCUUUUGUCAGGGAGCAAUUGGGUCCACGCGUGGGCUAAGGGAGAGUAUCUGAAGAAAAAGCAUAGGUUAACUCCGUGCCAGCAGCCGCGGUAAUACGGAGGAUGCGAGCGUUAUCCGGAUUUAUUGGGUUUAAAGGGUGCGUAGGCGGAAUAUCAAGUCAGCGGUAAAAAUUCGGGGCUCAACCCCGUCGUGCCGUUGAAACUGGUGGUCUUGAGUGGGCGAGAGGUAUGCGGAAUGCGUGGUGUAGCGGUGAAAUGCAUAGAUAUCACGCAGAACUCCGAUUGCGAAGGCAGCAUACCGGCGCCCAACUGACGCUGAAGCACGAAAGCGUGGGUAUCGAACAGGAUUAGAUACCCCUGUAGUC
rnacentral:rRNA from 1 species